rnacentral:rRNA from 1 species
GGGCACACUGGAACUGAGACACUGUCCAGACACCUACGGGUGGCUGCAGUUUGGAAUUUUGGGCAAUGGCGAAAGCCUGACCCAGCGACGCCGCGUGAGGGAUGAAGGCCUUCGGGUUGUAAACCUCUGUCACACGUUAGGAAACGUUUGGCAGCGAAUACCUGUCAGACUUGACAAAGGCGUGGGAGGAAGCGCCGGCUAACUCUGUGCCAGCAGCCGCGGUAAGACAGAGGACGCGAACGUUGUUCGGUGUCACUGGGCUUAGAGCGUACGUAGGCGGCUUGUUUAGUGGGAGGUGAAAGCUCCGGGCUCAACCCGGAAAUUGCCUUCCAAACGGGCAAGCUUGAGGGUCUGAGGGGGAAGCGGAACUUCACGUGUAGCGGUGAAAUGCGUUGAUAUGUGAGGGAACGCCGAUGGCGAAGGCAGCUUCCUGGCAGAUUUCUGACGCUGAGGUACGAAAGCGUGGGGAGCAAACGGGAUUAGAUACCCCGGUAGUCCACGCCGUAGACGAUGGGCACUAAGUAACGGCUGCUCCGAUGUAGUCGUUGCUGUAGCGCAAGCAUUAAGUGCCCCGCCUGGGGAGUACGGUCGCAAGGCUGAAACUCAAAGGAAUUGACGGGGGCUCACACAAGCGGUGGAGCAUGUUGCUCAAUUCGAAUUCAACGCGAAGAACCUUACCAGGGCUCGAAAUGCAUGGAUUAGCUGCCCGAAAGGGUAGUGACGCUUAACCAGUGGAACGUGUAUAGGUGCUGCAUGGUUGUCGUCAGCUCGUGUCGUGAGAUGUCGGGUUAAGUCCCAUAACGAGCGAAACCCCUGCCGUUAGUUGCCAGCGGGCAAUGCCGGGCACUCUAGCGGGACUGCCGGUGUCAAACCGGAGGAAGGUGGGGACGACGUCAAAUCAUCAUGGCCCUUAUGUCCUGGGCUGCAAACGUGCUACAAUGGCGGAUACAGAGAGAAGCAAGACCGCGAGGUGGAGCAAAUCUCAAAAGUCCGUCCUAGUUCGGAUUGAAGGCUGCAACCCGCCUUCAUGAAGCUGGAAUCGCUAGUAAUCGCGGAUCAGCCACGCCGCGGUGAAUACGUACCUGAGCCUUGUACACACCGCCCGUCAAGCCAUGAAAGCUGGGGGUACCUUAAGUCGCUGACCCGACCGCAAGGGGGGAGGCGCCCACGGUAAACCUGGUGAUUGGGGCUAAGUCGGAACAAGGUA